rnacentral:lncRNA from 1 species
NNNNNNNNNNUCCGGCGCGCGCACCAGUUGGCCCACGCGUGUGUGCGUGUGUACAUGCAUGCGUGUGUGUGCGUGGGUGCAUGUGCAUGCAUGUGGGUGAAUGUGUGUGCAUGGGUGCGUGCAUGCGUGUAUGUGUUUGCAUGCGUGUGUGUGCGUGUGUUUGUGUGCAUGCAUGGGUGUGCAUAUGCGUGUGCAUGUGUUUGCGUACGUGUGUGUGCGUUUGCAUGCAUGUGUGCACAUGUGUUUACGUGCAUGUACAUGUGUGUGCAUGUGUUUGUGUGCAUGUGCGUGCAUGUGUUUGCGUGCAUGUGUGUGUGCAUGUGUCUGCAUGCGUGUGUGUGUGUGCAUGUGUUUGGGUGCAUGCAUGUGUGCAUGUGCUUGCAUACAUGUGCAUGUGUUUGCGUGCAUGUGUGUGUGCAUGUGUUCGCAUGCAUGUGUGUGUGCACAUGUGUUUGCGCAUGUGUUUGUGUGCACGGGUGCAUGCAUGUGUGCUUGUGUUUGCGUGCAUGUGUGCGUGUACGUGUGUGUAUGCGUGUGUGUGUGUGCAUGUGUUUGGGUGCAUGCAUGUGUGCAUGUGCUUGCAUACAUGUGCAUGUGUUUGCGUGCAUGUGUGUGUGCAUGUGUUCGCAUGCAUGUGUGUGUGCACAUGUGUUUGCGCAUGUGUUUGUGUGCACGGGUGCAUGCAUGUGUGCUUGUGUUUGCGUGCAUGUGUGCGUGUACGUGUGUGUGCAUGUGUUUAUGUGCGUGUGUGUGUGCAUGGGUGCAUGCGUCUGUGUGCGCGUGUGUGCAUGCGUGUGUGUGUGUGUGUGUGCGUGUGUUUGCAUGGGUGCGUGCAUGCGUGUGUGUGUGUGUGUGCGCGCGUGCAUGUGUGCGUGCAUGUGUGUGUGCAUGUGUUUGGGUGCAUGCAUGUGUGCAUGUGCUUGCAUACAUGUGGCGGCCGAGGGGGAAAAAAAAAAAAAAAAAAAAAAAAAAAAAAAAACCCAGAUAUCCCCUUUUCUUUCAAGUUUGGGGGGGGGGGUUAAUUUCUUUUUCACGACUGCACGGCGAAUCUGUGUCAGAAAGCAGCGCUAGCGGCCACGCGCUGGGGGCUUUCGGGGGAUUCCUGCCCCUCUGGGGGGCUUUCGCUUCGGUGCAAACCUUGACCCGAAACACCUGGAAAGGUGCAAAACGCAUUUGCUUUUUUAUGUUGGCGACAGCAGCUGCCUCCUCUCCGCGGGGCCCUGCUUGUCCUUGGAGGGUGUCCUGUUCCGGGCGGGGGGCGCCGGGGGAC